UACGUAGGGUGCAAGCGUUAAUCGGAAUUACUGGGCGUAAAGCGUGCGCAGGCGGUUAUGUAAGACAGAUGUGAAAUCCCCGGGCUCAACCUGGGAACUGCAUUUGUGACUGCAUAGCUAGAGUACGGUAGAGGGGGAUGGAAUUCCGCGUGUAGCAGUGAAAUGCGUAGAUAUGCGGAGGAACACCGAUGGCGAAGGCAAUCCCCCUGGACCUGUACUGACGCUCAUGACACGAAAGGCGUGGGGAAGCAAACGAGGAUUACGAA
rnacentral:rRNA from 1 species